ensembl:lncRNA
CUGACCACCACCUCAAUAUGACCACAGUAUUACUACUAUAGCUACAAUACUAACUACAAUACAACCUCUUACAGGUUUGGGCUCAAUACAAUUUCAAUUCCAGUCAAAUCAGAAAGUAAACCAAAUUCCAAUUCCACAUCUCCUCAUUGAAAGGCUUUGAAGAGAAUUGGUAAUUGGAAUUUCAGUGUACUUCCUGAAUUGUCCAGAAUUAAAAGGGAAUUGACCCCAACCCUGACCUCUAAACCAUUGAUGAAGCAGCAACAACUACUGCAGUCUCCCAGGUGUCUGUCUGUGUGUUAUGGUCCCCUGGUGGCAGCAGCAGUGAAGGGAUACCUAACCAGGAGGCUCCUACACACAGAGAGAGUGGGACAGCUGCUAUGUACCAUCAAGGACACGCAGCAGUUCCUACAGUCCUUCCAGCCCCAGAGCCCUGGGAGAGACAGCAGGCAAGACCUGGUGCUGCAGGAGAGAGUCACACUGCAG